rnacentral:rRNA from 1 species
UAGACGAUGGCGACCGGCGCACGGGUGAGUAACACGUAUCCAACCUGCCGAUAACUCGGGGAUAGCCUUUCGAAAGAAAGAUUAAUACCCGAUGGCAUAAUAGAACCGCAUGGUUUGAUUAUUAAAGAAUUUCGGUUAUCGAUGGGGAUGCGUUCCAUUAGGCAGUUGGUGGGGUAACGGCCCACCAAACCUUCGAUGGAUAGGGGUUCUGAGAGGAAGGUCCCCCACAUUGGAACUGAGACACGGUCCAA